rnacentral:rRNA from 1 species
AAUAUUGGACAAUGGGCGAAAGCCUGAUCCAGCCAUGCCGCGUGUGUGGAGAAGGUCUUCGGAUUGUAAAGCACUUUAAGUUGGGAGGAAGGGUUGUAGGUUAAUACCCUGCAAUUUUGACGUUACCAACAGAAUAAGCACCGGCUAACUUCGUGCCAGCAGCCGCGGUAAUACGAAGGGUGCAAGCGUUAAUCGGAAUUACUGGGCGUAAAGCGCGCGUAGGUGGUUCGUUAAGUUGGAAGUGAAAGCCCCGGGCUUAACCUGGGAAUUGCUUUCAAAACUGACGAGCUAGAGUACGGUAGAGGGUAGUGGAAUUUCCUGUGUGGCGGUGAAAUGCGUAGAUAUAGGAAGGAACAUCAGUGGCGAAGGCGGCCGGCUGGACCUGACCUGACGCUGAGGCGCGAAGGCGUGGGGAGCGAAC